AGUAAUUUCCACAAUAAUUAAAAAUAUAAUAUUUAUAAUUAAUUAACAAUUUUUAAUAUUACUGCUAAUGCUUCUAAGCUUACACGCAGGUUCCGUCGCCAAAUUUGCUCAUUACAUUCAGAAAUUUAACUUCAAUCUUUACUUUGACGAAGGUGUGGCCGCGCUGCUUUCUAAAACCACGUAAAUUAAAUGUACUGGACUCUCAACCAGUUCCAGGGCCGAUUCAAUGUCCAAUUUUAAUUGAAAAGCAUAAAAAGAGGUGGAGGUGAAUGCCGGCGAGAGACCGGUUUUUUAAGGACUACAGUAGAAGACAGUGCUUACUCUCGUGAUAGCAUGAAAUGGAAAUUCUACGACGAUGUGCAGUUUUUAGAUGUCACAGCGUGAAAUCAGAUGGAAAUAGAUUUGGACAUUGAGCCUAUGCUGGAGUUGAUUGAAAAAUCAGCACCUCCUACAAUAGUAGAGGAAGCGCAAACUAAGAUAGAAUCUUAGAAACAACAACCCCCCUCUUAUAUUUUAGAACUAAUUGUUGCACCAUCAGCGCAAUCCGUCCCUAAAAUCAAUUGAAGCAAGAAUACAGAUGGAAGAGUCAGAAGCUUUCUCUUUAGAAUUUGGAGACGUAAAUCAUGAUUCUUCAGUAAAAUUUGAGUUAAGCGAUACCGACUUUAAAGCACAACGAAAGCUAUCAACGUGGCUUAGACAGUAUCUGUACUCACACUGGUGAUGCUU